AGAAUCAACGCUGGCGGCGUGCCUAACACAUGCAAGUCGAACGAGAAAGUGGAGCAAUCCAUGAGUAAAGUGGCGCACGGGUGAGUAACACGUGACUAACCUACCCUGGAGUGGGGGAUAACUGAGGGAAACCUUAGCUAAUACCGCAUAAUACCUACGGGUCAAAGGAGCAAUUCGCUUCAGGAGGGGGUCGCGGCCGAUUAGUUAGUUGGCGGGGUAAUGGCCCACCAAGACAGUGAUCGGUA
rnacentral:rRNA from 1 species